GAGCCCAUUACCCCAUUCAUUUCUGCCGCAUUAGCCCAUUUAUUUCUGCCUAAUUUUGACCAUUACGUUUUUAGCAUAGUGCGUCUCACAAAUCCAAAUGAGAAUUUUUACAAAGAGGAUGUGUCUUCAAAGUAUCAGAACAUUACACAGUUAAUACAGCUUGCAGCCAUCUAUAUGUAUCUACAACAUAGCAGUUUACAAAAUCCUCACUGCAAAGUUAGGAACCAUUACAAUCCAUUUUACAUCAACAUAACAUAUGAACUAUUGAGGUUGUUAUUCAUGUUCUUGUCGUCGGCCCUCCUCAGCCCUCCUAUGGCAACUAACAUGUCGUGGCUGAUUGUGAUGGCAACACCAAGUAGCUCGCUACCUAAUCUUACCUAGCAUAUUUAGAGGAACCUUAUUAGAUAUUUGCAUAUAUGAGUAGUUCAUAGAAAAAAGAGAAUUACAACAAAGUUAAAAAUGAACUACAUGUUGUCCAAAAUUCUUAGAUCUUAUAGUGCCUACAAAUGAGAAUAACUUUGCAUCUACUAUAAAACAAGAGUAAACAUGAGGACGAAAAUUAAUCCAAAGAAAAGCAUGUCAAAUGAAAGUCAAAUGACAAAGAAACAAAACAUACAUCCCAGAACUCAAGUACUAUAGUAGUACUAGUUGAGGCCAUAACAUGCCAACAAAAUGGCAUCACUAACAAACAAUAUCAUUGCUGUGAUGUUUACGCCAACCGGGUCAACGAGUAGCGCCAUAAGAUUUAAUGGUUAUGCUGCAAAUUGCUGCCCACUUUACAAACAUAGUAGUAUUAUCUAUAAUAGGAAAAAAUAAUGAAAUGAAAUAAACUGAACCAGUAUAUAUGUUUACUGGGUGACAACGGUAGGAACAAGGCUUGUGCAUGUCUAGGAAACCUAACAGCUUGCACGAGAACUACAAAUUAAUCUAUGCAUGGCUUAAAAAUUACUUCAGGGUUAUUAAUGUACAAGCCAAAUCAGAACAAAUGAAUAGGAGGUGACGACCACUCUAGUAGUGUAUCUAAGCAAUGCAAGGUUAUUAAGGUACAAGCUAGAGUUUGAAGUUCCUUUUUUUUUCAUUGGUUCAUCUUGUACAGAUUGCAUUUUAGAUAUGCUCAAUCUAGGGGAGCCAAAAAGGUAUCAGCAUGAAACAGAAAACACUGCUUAACUAUAAAAUCCUAGCACAUAUCCUCCAAAAAUUUCAUAUUUAACAUCUUUAUUGCAAAAUAGAAGUAUGUCUAUCUUUCUUGUGAUCUUAGUUAGUGUAUGCAAGCUUGAACUACUACACGCAUAUACAUAACAGUAAGAAGCAACAUUAAUUUUUGCAAACUAGAAUACUUCAUGCACAAAUUAAUUAAGUACGACAAACUAAGCUGUUUUGAUGUUAUUGCAUAAGGCCAAAAAAUUUAUCAGGGCACUUGCAUGUACGCCAUGUAGUAGCAAUCACUAACCUGUUUUGAUGUUAUUGCAUCAGGCCAAAAAAUUAUCAAACAUCUCAACAAACAUGUGAAAGGCACACCUACUGUAGGAAGGUUUCAGCAUCUACACCUAUAGGCAACAAGUCGUGUAAAAAAAUCAAAGAAAGAGAGUCAGGUCAUAGUGAAAUCCAAAACAUAAGCGAGAAGAUAAAUUGGAUUGUUUUUAUGUCAAAACAAAGAGAUAUUUUUUGUCUACAUUUAUGAAAUGAAUAAUAUGAUCAUGUUUGUUAGUUGUCAAGCAUAUCUUACCAUCAACGUCGUCUGCAUCUAGGCAUGCUAGUUGUGCUAUAUUUAUACUAGCUAAUGCACUGUAACUUCGGCCAAAAUUUUCAACAUAACUUGUGUGUUCUCUGCUCUCUACGCUAUCCUACCUCCCUUUCACUUUCAGAAAUAUCAGAGUUAGAAUGGACAUACAGUUUGUUUGCCAAUAUUCAGUUUGUUUACAACCAUGUUUAUAAGGCAACAAAAAAAAGAUGUAAUUUGUAUGCCCGCAAUUUUACCCAAUAUUCAGCCAUGAGGUGAAGGCUCUUCCUUGAGAACCAGCUAUGGCCUUUUACAACUUACUAAAACCAGAUCAGAGAAGCACAAAAUCUCAAGCAUGAAGAGCCGAGUUGUGGGCACCUGACCAACACUUCAGUCCAUGCGUGUUAGGCCGCUACCGUCAGGGAGGAAGAUGCAGAGGCUAGAGGUUGCCCUCGCAGCCGGGAUCCAGUCCGUGUGUGUGAGAAGUAUGACAAUCAAUCAAAGGAACUUGUUACACACACACAUAGAGAGAGAAAAUGGUCUGAUUACAUUCCAGUGGUUCAUCAUGUCAUGUUCAGAUUCAGAAUAAGCUAAUAGAGCCUAGCACAGGAAAAAACUAAACAUGCUUAUGGAAAUAUCUCCUCAAGUUAAAGUGUUAACCAUCAAGAUUAUUUUUAAAAUUUGGUGAAGCACAUUUGUACGUUGAGAACGUAAGAUUAAUGGCAUAUCGGAUAGCAGGAAAUGAAAACAAUAAGUGCAGCUCUAGCACUCUGACCAAUAUGGCGCUCUCCUUGCAAUGAAAUGUUGUUCACAUAUUUUGAAAUACCUUUUUUUUCUCCCGUGUGCAGAUCAUUUCUUUCAGGGGCGCUCUAUUUUGCUCCAAAACCAACGACUAACCUAGACUGAAAUGCUUGCCUACUCAGUGUCAGAUCUAUCCCCUCAACCUAUUCUAUUCUAGCUCUAGAAUUAGGUAGCCAUAGACCAAAAUCAACUAAGAUACUGAUUCGUGGAUAUUAUCAUGGGGUUACAGAAGAUUGAAGAUGAACUGACCCGGAAGCUAUGAGAUUAGUCCAAAGAAAAAUGGGGGAAAACAAGAACAGGUGGAUCUACAGUUUGGACGUAGGGGGCGAGCGAGAGGUCUGACUUCAUGGACGGGGAAGGAAAGGGUGAUGCUGCCGUCGCUUCUGCCUCCAGUGUGCCGUGUAGUAGACCGGCCACCGCACGGCCGCUCCGCUCCGACAAGCUGACGUCAGGUUUGAGCUCCAUGCCGGAUCUGCACAAUAGGUCGCAAAGAUAAGAGAUACGCCUAGAUUGAAUUGGAUUCAGUUCGAUUCUUCACCGCAAAAGGUAGUAGUAGAGCUACUGCGUCCUUACCAACAGAGGGAGGAAGAGUCACGGGAGCCAAUCCAGAUCCAGUAGAGAGACGGACGGGGAUCUACUCCGCUUCCAGGCGUGCUCCGGUUGGUUUCGGUGGAGGAGAAGGAGCAGGACGGCGGCGGUGCAGCGGAGAAGGAGGAGAUGGUGAUGCGGCGCGGGCAGGGCAAGGAAGUAGGGAAAUAGAGAGGGUUGAGACGAUGGGGGCGGCGGCAGAGGAGGAGUGGGGAAGGAGUGCCUCUGGUGUUAGGUUUAGGUUUUAUGAGGGGAAUGGUUU
rnacentral:lncRNA from 1 species